UCGAGGAUCUUCGGCAAUGGGCGCAAGCCUGACCGAGCGACGCCGCGUGUGCGAUGAAGGCCUUCGGGUUGUAAAGCACUGUCGAGGGGGAGGAAAGCCCGAAAGGGUUUGACCUAUCCCUGGAGGAAGCACGGGCUAAGUUCGUGCCAGCAGCCGCGGUAAGACGAACCGUGCGAACGUUGUUCGGAAUCACUGGGCUUAAAGGGCGCGUAGGCGGCUGACCAAGUCCGGGGUGAAAUCCUGCAGCUUAACUGUAGAAGUGCCUUGGAUACUGGUUGGCUCGAGGGAGGUAGGGGUCUGUGGAACUUCUGGUGGAGCGGUGAAAUGCGUUGAUAUCAGAAGGAACGCCGGUGGCGAAAGCGACGGACUGGACCUCUUCUGACGCUGAGGCGCGAAAGCCAGGGGAGCAAACGG
rnacentral:rRNA from 1 species